rnacentral:rRNA from 1 species
UAGGGAAUCUUCCACAAUGGACGCAAGUCUGAUGGAGCAACGCCGCGUGAGUGAAGAAGGUUUUCGGAUCGUAAAGCUCUGUUGUUGGUGAAGAGGGAUAGAGGCAGUAACUGGUCUUUAUUUGACGGUAAUCAACCAGAAAGUCACGGCUAACUACGUGCCAGCAGCCGCGGUAAUACGUAGGCGGCAAGCGUUGUCCGGAUUUAUUGGGCGUAAAGCGAGCGCAGGCGGAAUGAUAAGUCUGAUGUGAAAGCCCACGGCUCAACCGUGGAACUGCAUCGGAAACUGUCAUUCUUGAGUGCAGAAGAGGAGAGUGGAACUCCAUGUGUAGCGGUGGAAUGCGUAGAUAUAUGGAAGAACACCAGUGGCGAAGGCGGCUCUCUGGUCUGCAACUGACGCUGAGGCUCGAAAAGCAUGGGUAGC